UAUGUAUAUGUGCAUGCACAUAUGUGUGCACAUACACACACUCAUGCAUAUAUACAUAAAAGGGGCAUGCACGGCCUAUAUGAGGCUGCUUGGGCACCAUCAAGUGUCCAGACAUUUUGUAUUGCAUAUAUGUAUACAUUAUAUGUGUGUAAUAUAUAUGUAUGUGUGCAUGUGUCUGCAUGCUGUGUGUAUGUCUGCGUGCUUGUGUGUGUGUAACAGAGAAGGUAAAUAAAAUCACAAUGAAAAAGAGUAGCCUUAAAAAGCUAUAGCAGAUAGAGCAGAGUUACCUUUUUCCCCCUCAUUCAUUCUCCUCACAAACAUGCUCCUUUGCUAGAGUCCCAAAAAGAAACGCGCAGUUUCCAGCUAACUGGGCAACAUGGGGUCACUGAAGAUCUGGAAUCCCUUUUACAGGUAGAGAUCAUGUAACCAUUGCAGAAGACAUACUGACAAACCAUGAACCACUGCCGCAGGGAGGACUGAACAACAUUUAUCGUAUCUGAUCUUGGAUAAAAAUCAGUAUCAAUCAUCAGUGGAAAGAAAGCAGGUCUUAAUAGUAUGUCUGCCUCUGACUUUGUAGCUUUCAGAAAGAAUGGAGCUUUUCAUGUGCCAAACACUUUGCCAAAUUCAUCUAGGCUAAUCACAGGUAUUAAACAUAUGGUAUUAUUUUUAAAAUCUGAGGCUUAGAGAGAGGCUUAAGAAUUUUCUCAGAGUCACACAGCAUUUAUUCAUGCUACAAAUGAUGUGCUCCUGACAACGUUAUACAUACAAUGGACGAAAUGAGAAAGAGAGUGUAUUGACUUCUUUAUUUCCCUGCUUCUUAUUCUAGCUACCCCUGUGUAAUGGGAAGAAUGUUUUAGAAGGAAAUAAAACUACAGAAGAAACAUUUUUUUUUAUCCUACAGAGCAGAUUCCCUAAGAAUCUUUUUUGCUUUGAAAAUAAUAAUUUUCAGGUUGAAGAAUUCCAUUUAAUCAGAGAAAAGUAUACAUAUAUUAGUUCCCAUCUAAAGAAAGUGAAAACUGGUUGUUUUAUAUUGCAUAGCCUGUAUUCACUGUUAGAUCUUUGAAUAAGAAAUAAUCCUGAGUAACUGCAGGGAUAUCCAUAUGCAGAGUGGAAUAACCUUUAAAAUAUUUAGAGGUUCAGUCCCUAACAGCUACAUCAUUGAGAAUGAAACUGCUGUUUUUCCAACUAUUUUCUUCUUUGUCUAUCCUCAAACAAGCUAUACAUGUAACCCAAGUCAUGGGAUGGUGACCAGGGCCUCAUGGUUAAUUCAUAGCUCUGUUAUUUUGAAAACUGAUCUGUGGAAGAUUUGGCAACUAGUUGUCUUCAUAUGCUCAUCAGACAUGACUAAACCUUCAAGCAGAAGAGUUUAGGAUAUUUGAAACCCAUGGCAAAAUGAAGAAAGGAUUAGAAAAGAAGAUAUAGCAAUUCCCAAAGGAAGUCAGGAGAAAAAUAUUACAAUAAAUCCAAUGCAUAACACUUUAAAGUACAUAUUUGUGGGGUGAUUGAAGAAAUGGAUGAGCACCUUAUUUAUGUAGCAAUGUAAGAACUCCAUUUUCAGUUUCAUGUAGGCAGUCCUUAUAAGGCUAUAAAUUUCGUACUUCUUAAUAGUCUUUCUGGUGUACUAAACACGUGGUUUUUUUUUUUUUUUAACUUUUUAUGUUGAAAUAAUUUUAUGUUAACCAGAAGUUGCAAAAAUAGUACAGAGUUCCCUUGUAUUCUUCACCCAGCUUCCUUCAAUGAUAACUAACCUUACAUAACCAUAGUACAUGAUCAAGACAAGGAAAUUGACACUGGUACACAUCUAUUAACUACAGACUUUAUUUGGAUUUCACAAUUAUGUAGCUUCUUUAAAAAUGUUAUUUAAAAUGUCUUAAUCGUUGUCUUAAGUAUUUUAUUGUGUUUCAGAUAGCUGCUUUAUAUCUCAACUCAGAACUAAAAAAUUUACUUGAAAAUUGGGUGUCUUAAGGAAAGCUUUUAUGUUUCAUUUUAAUUUGUGUUAUUCUCAAAUAAGUGGAUAAUAUAACCUGCAAUUGCAUGAAUGCUUGUGGAGUUUAAUGUGAUUGCUCAUCUGCAAAAUUAAGACUUGAAGCAAAGUCUAGUUUGGCUGUCCUCCAAGUAGUUUCUUUUCUUCAGUGAAAUCAUAAUUUUCACCAUUUCUAUCAGUAUCUUCUGACUGAUGAGGUCAUAAAAUUUCUGCGAUGCCAAACUUAGUUAUCUGUUGGACUUUGUGUUUCCCUUUUAUCUACUAUGUAAACUACAGGCCGGGUGUCAUUGGAAGACCUUGACAUCUUUUAGUAUACUGCUAAUUUAGACCAGUGACGCUAACUUGUUCUUUCACAAUUAAAAAUAUGAAGAACAAAAAAAAUGUAUUUGUAUAAUAAUUUAUAGUUUCAAAAUGCUUUUAUCUGCAGGACGUUCCUUGAUCUUACACAACCCUUUGAAAUAGGCAAAGGUAAUAAUUUUAUUUCUACUUAAGCUUUGUGGGCUCCUAAGAGUAAAGGUCUCAUUCAUUCAUAGAAAAAACUAGAUUCAGCUGGGAAGAUGUACUCAUGCCAGAUAAAUCAAUAGAGGAAAUUUAAUAUGGAUAAUUUAAUAUGAUGAUUACAAUUAGAUAAAAGAGUUCAAAAAACAAGCAGGGAAGGGUGAGGCAAACCUAAGGUUAGUCACCAACAGAAGCUGCCUACCUGCUUAGAGCUGGAGGGACAAAGAAAAAAGUGGACUCCUGGAUCUCAGGAAGUUGAGGUACCUUGUUAGAUGAGAGCCACCCACUCAUCCAACCUAACUGGAAGUCUAAUGGCAAGGGAGCCAAGAAAACAAGGCUUCAGUGUACUACCCUACCACUGGUAUUAAAGCAGAAGUGGGGAAGUAUAGGUAAUAAAUAUGAGAUUUAAAGUGCCAAUCAUGUUGUUCCAAGUAUACUCAUUUUUUAUAGAUAUACCAUGCAAUGACAUAUUGUUGGGUACAAAAGAGAUGAAAUUAGUAUUAGAUCUGCUGUGGAAAAUUUUUCAUUUUUAAAGAGGUGACCAUAAUGGAAACAAGCACUGCCGUUAUUACUGCUAGAUUUACUACCAGCUAACAUUUAUUGAGUAAUACUUACAUGUAAGGAGCUGCAAUACAUCAUUUAAAUAUAGUUUAUCAUUUAACCCUCUGGGUCCAGUACAGUUACUCCUAUUUUACAGAUCAUAAAAUUGAGGCUUUUAAAAAUUAUAAUGCUCACAGUGACAAGGUUGAACAGCCAAGAUUCUGAUGUAGACCGUUUCUAAAACCCAUGCUCCUAACACUGCCCUAUAUUGCCUCCUGAAAUAUAAUAAAGUUUUAAAAGUUUUAGAAUUAAUUAUAUGUGUAGGCUAUACUGCAGUGGCUAAUUCCUUCCAGGGAAAUGGGAAACUACAGAAGAGACAACAAUACACCAAAGUUGAACUUGAAAUAUGAGGGUCUUUCUAGGUAAAUAAAAAGACCAGGGUAGUAAUAACAGAACAUCAGUACCAAACUGCGUAUUAUUUUCUAAGAACUUGGUAAGCUUGGCUACCUAGCCGCAGGUAAUUCAGACCUGUUGGAGGAUAGUAUGGGAGGGGGAAUUUUAAUAUGAGAAAAGUCUAGGAAGACAGUCAGAAGGCAUACCAUAUUCAGGAGAUAUUAAUUCACACUCAAGAAAAUGGGAAGCUGUUGAUGAUGGUGUGCUAUGGAGAGCCCUAAUCAGUUCUGGUUUUGAAAUAAUAACCUGCAGAAUUAGGUCACUAUUACUACAUGUUUGUAGAGUACAUGAUUAUUAUUUAGGGAAGGGAUGCCCUGAAAAAAUGGACCGGAGUUUAAAUGUUACCUUAGUGUAGUAGAUGUACCAGUAGCUGCAUCUGACCUCUUAUUAUUCUUUAAAUUCUCAAUCACUGCACAUCAAUGUUCUUAAUAAGAGAUUAGAGACGUUUGAGAGGAAGAUUUUGCUAUAAAUACUUGAUUGGAGCCCUUUAUUCAUUUGUUUCCAAAUUAAGGCAAUGAUACCUGAAUAAAUAUAGUUCUAUAAUUAUAUACUUUCUUAUAAAACUUUCACAUGUAUUUUCACAUAUGAUCCCCAAAUAACCUAUGAGUUUAAUAGCAUAGCUGUUUUUGCUACAAUUUGAAUAUGAGGAAAGAGAGCAGUAGAAGGGUAGAAACUAAAUAGCAGGGCCAAGACCUCAAGUGGGCCUCUUUUGUUUCUACCUCUGUUACUUAUACACUUGAUCUUAGCCAAAAGGCCAAGAAGCAGUAUCAGUGUUACUUUUGUCUAUGCUCACAUAUCAUCUUGAUCUGAGACAAGUUAUCUCAUUGUUUUAUUAUAAUUAUGUUAAUAUACUUUUAUUUAAGGAAAUUAAACUAUGUAAUUCCUAUUCAAAUUUUCUAUAUGGUGUUAUAUUUUCCUUGUAUAUCUAUAUACUUCACAGCAUAGGCUUUCUCAUGGAUAUAGUUUUUUUUUUUUUUUACUAGCAAUUGUCUACAUCUCAAAAAUGUCACCUGUCAAGUAUAUAAAUUUCCUCAGUAAAUAGAAAGCUAUUGAAUAUUUUUAUAUGAGCUUUAAACUCAGCUUCACCUGGUUUCCAUUAUGUUGCAAGGUGCUUUAAAGGUAGAAAUGCAUUUUUGGUCUGCUCACAAACAGAUGAAAAAUUAUCUUCUUGCCUUCUUCGAUUUUACUUUCUUGCAGGCACGCUGAGUUAUAUCUCACCUGUGUUAAAAUGGAGAUAGCUUUAUAUCAGCAAAGUAGAAAGAAUUCUUGAUACUAAAGUAGUACAUUUCCUUUCCUUCUUUUCUUUUCCUUCAUAGAGUUUUGUAGUGUUCAUUUUAUUUAUUUGAAUAUCAGAAUUCUCUAGAUCACUGCCAAAUAUUGGGAUUAAAGCAGUUUAGGUGAACAAAAAUGAGUAAUGGCUGCAUUUAAUUACAGAUAAUAACCAUAUGAGAAAGGGAUGAAAGAAACUCUGAAGCUCCUAGAGCUUCAUCAUUGCCAUUUAUUUGGCAAAAUAAUUAUUUAGCAUUAAGAGCUUAUAUCAGAAUUGAUUUAUGACUGAUUUUAAAAUAUCUUAUAUUGCCAUCAUGUCUGUAAUUCCAGCUACUUGGGAGGUUGAGGAGAGGAUUGCUUGAGGCCAGGAGUUUGAGAUAAGCUUGGGCUACACAGUGAGAGCACAUCUCUUUUUAAAAAAUCUUAUAUCUUUAAGUGACAACUUAUAUACUUAAGUGACAAGUAUCCUUAAAACAACUUAUAUCUUUACCUUCUGAGUUGGCUCAGUAAUAUCUUUCUCUAAAUUAUCAGUAGGGUUUUAUUCAGAGAAAAAGGUCAAAAUUAUCACUAUAAUCAUUCCAAAGGUAAUAUUCAUUUAUAUCCUCUUACACCUGUGUCCAUAUGCACAUAAAUACAGAGUGAUUCAUGACCAGGCAAGUGAAUUUAGAAAAUGUUGCUUUUAAAACAAGUAUAAAAGUGUGUGUUCAUACAAUAUAUGUAUAAUAACUAUAGGCAUUAUAGAAAUGUGAGGAAAAUUAGUUGAUUUUUAUUUCUUUUUGUUUACCCCCCUUGAACUUGACUGUUUAGGAAAAUUCAGUUCCUUCCUGGGAAAAAAUUGGUACUGGUUAUUGUAUAGACACUGCAGAUUCUCUUAAUUGGCAAAAUGGAGCUUCACUUCUAACUGUACUUUUAACUUUGAAUGAUUAGCUGACUUUGUAAGAGAAAACUAUGCCUCAUUUUCCAUAUAUGUGAAAGUGUGACCACAUUGUCACACUCUAAAAAGGUCUUCUUGAAGAUGAAUUAAAAUAUAAUCCACAAGAGAUGUUGAUGAGCAAGGUAAAGGCAUUAUUCAAAUUGUAUAUUUGAAAUUAUGUUUAAAUCAGGCAAAUGUAAAAAUCAAUUCAAUGUGACAAUAUGUAACAUUUUGGCCAAGCCAAAAAUAUUAUAAUAAUGGUUGUAGGCAAAUCUAAAUUAUGGCUUGGAAAGCCUGAACAGACAAGUUCUAGGAAUGAAAUCAGAGUCCAAAGUCUGUGAAGGUUAAUGCAGGAUUGAACAAGUGGUCAGCCAGGGCAGUGUCAGUAUAACCUGUAGUUUAUCUAGAGAAAUAAUCUUUGUUAAGAAAGAAUUUGGUUA